AUGACCAUGGAGGCGGAGCGCGGGGCCGGCGAGGAGGAGGACGAGCCGCGGCGCCCUCUUCUCCCACCUUCGUCGCCAGCGGCGGAGCACCAGCAGCAGUACCGGCACCUGGGGCGGAGCAGCUCGUCGACGCUGCGCGAUGGCGGAGGAGGGUGGGCGGAGGUCAGCGCCACCGAGGUCAAGUCCGCCGCCUCCUUCUCCCCCAACUACUACCCCCCGGCGCCCAGUCCUCACCACGACGCCGUCUACCCGCCGUCCAUCCACAACGCCGUCCUCUCCCAAUCCCCGUCAACUGCUGCCACUCCUCCGCAUACGCAUGGUUUGGCGAUUGUUCCUCAAGGGCCGUACCCGUACGGCGGUGAUUACCAGCCUUCUCAGGGCGUCCGGAGGGAUGUACUGGAUGAGGUGGAGGUCCGGCAGAUGCUAAUCGAACAUGUUGGGCAUCGAUGUUGUUGGGGCAGCCGGCCUGCUCGGACAUGGAAAAUUACAUCCAUCAAGGACUGCUGUGACGUAUACGUUGGUACCUUGGAAACCUUCAUCGAGCAAAGAGACACCAUAUUUGAAAGGGAACCCUAUCAUGGUGGGGAAGUAGAUGGAAGAGACAAGGGUCCUGUCCUUGGUGUGUGGGAACUAGAUUUGAGGUCCGAGUUUCCUCCACUCUUUGUACCGGAGAAAGAAGUAAGGUUCAAGAUUCCUCAUUCAGAAUUCACUGAGAAGUGCUCAGAUUGCGAGGGUCGUGGGAAGGUACCAUGUCCUACUUGCAAUCCUGGUCGGCAGUACGGGUUUUACAUGGCAAAUCAAAUGACUCAGUGCAGUGUAUGUGAUGGCAGGGGUUCACUCGCUCAGCAAGAUGAAUCUGAUAAAGUAUGUUGGAUGUGCAAUGGUCAAGGAGUGUUGCCCUGCACAGAAUGUGGAUCCCGUGGCCUAGUAACAUGCCGGACAUGUAAUGGCUGCGGUUCCCUUCUUACACAAAGCAUUGCUCGCGUUCGAUGGGAGACGCUUACAGCGAGAAAAGUUAGUGCAACAGCAGAAACUGCUUCGGUCCCUGAUGAAGUUUUCCACAGAGCGCAAGGGGUGCAACUAUGCAACAUACAGGCAUACCAAUGCACUCCUGCUUUCUUUGCCGAUUCAUACCCACUCAACCAGUUGUCCUCGGAGGUUGUUGCUAGCCGGCUGCCAGUUCCACCAUCCGCAAUAGUCAUUUCGGAGAGACACAUCAUCUCGGUCGUGCCUGUAACCCGUGUCACAAUGUCGCACCGUAAGCGAUCUUUUAUCUUCUACGUCGUUGGCUACGGCAGGGAUGUUUUCGUGCGGAACUACCCUUCGAGGUUUUGCUGGGGCCUCUGUCGUUGCUUCGAAUGGUUGGGGAAUUAG
rnacentral:rRNA from 1 species